UACGGGGGAAGCAAGCGUUGUUCGGAUUUACUGGGCGUAAAGGGCGCGUAGGCGGCCAGCACAAGUCAGUUGUGAAAUCUCCGAGCUUAACUCGGAAAGGUCAACUGAUACUGUGCGGCUAGAGUGCGGAAGGGGCAACUGGAAUUCUUGGUGUAGCGGUGAAAUGCGUAGAUAUCAAGAGGAACACCUGCGGCGAAGGCGGGUUGCUGGGCCGACACUGACGCUGAGGCGCGAAAGCUAGGGGAGCAAACAGG
rnacentral:rRNA from 1 species